GUCUUCAUGGUAUAAUGGUCAGCACACUCGACGCGUAUUCGGGCAGUCCAGGUUCGAGUCCCGGCGAGGGCA
rnacentral:tRNA from 1 species